AUAAGCAAGCGCUCUCCAGCUUCUCGCAGGGCUUGCGGAAUCGUUGGGGUCACCAAAGUUAUGCAAUAUUUAAGACACGGCUGAUACUUCCAAUAUUAAGCUUGCUAUACUUUUUGGAGGAAGCCAAGAGCCACGCUGCCUAUAAAAGACCCAUCAACCGGAGAAAUACAGCAGAAGCUGCUUUUCCGGGGAAGUCAAGUGCGGCAAUGAUAUUCUUUCCAGGCUUCAUUGACCGCUGAUGGCUGGUUGCUACUUUUUGCAGGGACUAUUUACAGAACAGAAAAGCAUCUCAAGUUCUGAGGACCACUGGGAAGGAAUCCCACUGGAGCUAGGGAAGUUACAACUGUGACAAGGAGAAGAGGAGGCCACUGAGGACAUCUUUCGAACUGUGAACCCACUGGUUUGUAGGAUUGAGUGCCACAGUGUCACUAUCACAGCCUCCUUAACUCUGGUACGGCAAUGUGCUCUGAUGGGAAACCUCUGAAGUUCAUCAGUGCCAUAUCAUUGCAAAGCCGCCCGACUGCCCUUCCUUUAGAUCAGGGAUAAUAAAGUGUUGUUAGUCUUUUCAAGGUCAAACUGCACUUCUUGCUAUGAAAAUAUAAGAGAGAAGCACAUUACUUUGUCAAGUUAAUACAGUGUGAUAGACUUUCUCAGGCAGCCCAUCCAGAAAGACUGUAAACGUCUAAUAGAUUUAGGGAAACGGUUCCUCGGGGAACGUAUUAGGAAGAAGCCAUCGAUGGAUCAAAUUGCUCACUGAGUAUUACUUAUUGGGGAACAGCAUGGUUUUAAAUGAUUGCUCUCUUAUCAAAAGCCUGGAGACAAAUUGCAUGCCUUGGAUUAAACUUUACAAGAAUGGGUCAAUAA